GAUGAAGAACGUAGCGAAAUGCGAUAAGUAAUGUGAAUUGCAGAAUUCAGUGAAUCAUCGAAUCUUUGAACGCACAUUGCGCCCGCUAGUAUUCUGGCGGGCAUGCCUGUUCGAGCGUCAUUUCAACCAUCAAGCCCUGUUUGGGCUUGUGUUGGGGCCCUGCGGUUGCCGCAGCCCCCUAAAUGCAGUGGCGGGCUCGUUGUCACUCCGAGCGCAGUAGCGUAUCUCGCUCUGGGCGUGGCGGCGGGUGCUAGCCGUGAAACACCCACUAAGGUUGACCUCGGAUCAGGUAGGAAUACCCGCUGAACUUAAGCAUAUCAAUAAGCGGAGGA
rnacentral:misc_RNA from 1 species